rnacentral:tRNA from 1 species
GAAUUCAUAGCUCAGUGGAUUAGAGCACAUAGCUACGAACUAUGGUGUCGGGGGUUCAAUUCCCUCUGAAUUUU